UUGUUGAGCAGGUUUCUUUUGGAGGGAAGCUGAGCUGUCGAAAGCACGUUGCUUACUCGGCAUAUUACGAAAGAGACCUCUAAAAAUUAUAUUUUCCAGCGUAUUUUUAAGUCUGGUUUGAGAAAAUCAUUCAAUUAAGGCGAGUUCUGGGAAUGUGGCAAAAAGUCUGUGGCACAGAGCUAACUGAUGCUUAUCCACUGUAUGAUUAUAUGGUAGGAGGACGACCAAUGGUUACCCUGAAGACGAAUGGUAACCCUGAAGAGGCACAUUCUCCUAUAAGAAAAGAAAAGAAAAAUGUCAAGUCCAGUGAUUCUGAGGAUUGUUUUUGGUGGGCAGGAUGAUGCAAGAAAACUUGUACUCAAGAAAGGAAUCCCAAUGUCUGUCGAUGACCUUGUCCAUGACAUAAUCACAGUUUUUGGGGUGAAGCAAAAGUUCAGGCUGCAGUACAAAGAUAAGGACUUUGGAAAUGAAUAUGUGAAUCUCAUGUCUACCAGUGAAAUUGAAGACAGGGAUACCCUGAAACUGAUUUUUCUAUCGACCGAAGACUCUAAUUCCAGCAUGCAAGAGACUGAGCCUGCUUUACCUUACUGCUCCACCACACCUUCACCCAGUGGAUUUAGUACAGCUACCUGUGAUACUGCUGACGUGAGAGAUGUAAGCCCCUCUUCUAUUGACCCAGCCCAAGAAGUCAACUUGUAUGAUGACUAGGUAUGCAGC